rnacentral:rRNA from 1 species
AACGAACGCUGGCGGCAUGCCUAACACAUGCAAGUCGAACGAGACCUUCGGGUCUAGUGGCGCACGGGUGCGUAACGCGUGGGAACCUGCCCUUAGGUUCGGAAUAACUCCCCGAAAGGGGUGCUAAUACCGGAUAAUGUCUUCGGACCAAAGAUUUAUCGCCUUUGGAUGGGCCCGCGUUGGAUUAGCUAGUUGGUAGGGUAAAAGCCUACCAAGGCGACGAUCCAUAGCUGGUCUGAGAGGAUGAUCAGCCACACUGGGACUGAGGCACGGCCCAGACUCCUACGGGAGGCAGCAGUGGGGAAUAUUGGACAAUGGGCGAAAGCCUGAUCCAGCAAUGCCGCGUGAGUGAUGAAGGCCUUAGGGUUGUAAAGCUCUUUUACCCGGGAUGAUAAUGACAGUACCGGGAGAAUAAGCUCCGGCUAACUCCGU